AUGGGGGUGACCACAGUGUACAUCACCGAGGCCACGGAGAUUUUCUGGGAAGAGUGAGUCACCGCAGAAGUGAAGUGGACCCCAAUGCCUGUCCCAUAAAAUAAAGAAACGACGGAGAGGUGAGACCCACAGGUGGAAAGUGCUUUUUGUUUUCCCCCAGAUGAGGACAUCUUCCUUAUGGAUGAAGCAAUUCGUGAAUAAGAGAAAAUGAUCCCAAGGAGGGGAAAAACGCCCAGCACACCCGUCAUAAAGUAUAUCAACGUGCUGUUCAGGAAGGUAUCAGAGCAGGCCAGCUGGAGGAUGUACGUCAGUUCGCAGAAAAAAUGUGGAAUUUCAAAAUCUUUACAGAAGAUUAGAUGCAUCAUCAGAGAAAUAUGGAGGAGGGAUGUCAUGACACCAAUGAGCCAGGUGACAAAAACCAGGAGGCCACAGAGGUGGGGGUUCAUGAUGAUCAUAUAGUGCAGAGGGUGGCAGACAGCCACAAACCGGUCAUAGGCCAUCACGGUCAGGAGUAGCGUGUCCAGAAUAGGAAAAAACAUGGAGAAAUAGACCUGUGUGAGGCAGUCCAUGUAGGAGAUGGCUUUGUUCUCGGUCUGGAUGUUCACCAGCAUCUUGGGGACGAUGCAAGUGCUGAAACAGAUGUCAACCC
rnacentral:lncRNA from 1 species